rnacentral:lncRNA from 1 species
GAAUAUUGUAAGUGCUCAAUAGUUCACUCUUGUUUUCACCAGCUGUUGCCCUUGCACGCACAUACAUUUUCAUAUAUUACUUUAAUAAUUUAUUUAGUAGGCUGUUUGUAUACAUAUUUGGAUUUUUCUACCCUGUUGUCAGAUAUUACCCCACUAGUGUGUCUAUACCUGAUCUCAGAGGUCAGGUUGUUUCCUUUCCAUUGAUGCUUCCUUACUCAUUUUAUUUUCCUUUUGAAUCCUCAUGAUACUUGGCAUUACUGGUUUAACAUCCAUCGUUUUUGCAAAAAGUCAUUUCCUUGAAAGCAAGGCCAUGACUAUCUUGCUCACUGUCAUAUCAUCAGCCUCUAACAAAAAGAGUGAUAGAUAGUAGGAAUUUAAGAAGUAUUUAAUGAAUGGAAUUGUUACUGAAAUUCAGUAUUUCCCUUGUAGAAUGUAACUGUCCCUGGGUUGAGUGACACAUUAAUUUAUGUUCCAUUAAAACUAUACAUUUUCUUUCUUUCUUUUUUUUCUUUUUUUUUUUUAGACAGAGUCUUGGUCUGUUGCCCAGGUUGGAGUGCAACGGCCCAGUCUUGGCUCACUGCAACCUCCGCCUCCUGGAUUCAAGUGAUUCUCCUGCCUCAGCCUCCUGAGUAGCUGCGAUUACAGGCGCCCACCACUGUGCCCGGCUAAUUUUUGUAUUUUUAGUAGAGAUGGGAUUUCACCAUGUUGGCCAGGCUGGUUUCAAACUCCUGACCUCAGGUGAUCCGCCUACCUCGGCAUCCCAAAGUUUUGGGAUUACAGGCAUGAGCCACUGUGCCCAGCCCAUAUUUUCAAACAAUAUCCUAGAAGUCAAUGGUGAACAAGGUUUGCAUGGAAUUUAA